AACGAACGCUGGCGGCAGGCUUAACACAUGCAAGUCGAGCGCGCCCUUCGGGGUGAGCGGCGGACGGGUUAGUAACGCGUGGGAACGUGCCCAGAUCUAAGGAAUAGCCACUGGAAACGGUGAGUAAUACCUUAUACGCCUCGGGAAGAUUAUCGAUUGUAUCGCCGCGUAGAUUAGAUAGUUGGUGGGUAAGUGGCCUACCAAGUCUACGAUCUAUAGCUGGUUUAGUAGGAUGAUCAGCAACACUGGGACGUGAGACACGGCCCAGACUCCUACGGGAGGGCAGCAGUGGGGAAGUCUUGGACAAAUGGGCGGCAAGCCUGAUCCAGCCAUGCCGCGUGAGUGAUGAAGGCCUUAGGGUCGUAAAGACUCUUUCGUCCACGAGAAUGAUAAAU
rnacentral:rRNA from 1 species